UCCAUCGUGAGGUGGAGUCUGAAGGAAGCCAGAGGCAAAAUCCCGCCUCGAUGAAUAAGAACUACAUAUGAGGCUGUUUAAGACGGAUGAGUUUGCAAUACAAAACAAAGUCCAGCACUGCCCGAAUCUUAAGCAGUAAAUGUAGCGAGGGCAUGGGAUGAAAGUGGUAGCA
rnacentral:ncRNA from 1 species